GACGAACGCUGGCGGCGUGCUUAACACAUGCAAGUCGAGCGGUAAGGCCCUUUCGGGGGUACACGAGCGGCGAACGGGUGAGUAACACGUGGGUGACCUGCCCUUAGCUCUGGGAUAAGCCUGGGAAACUGGGUCUAAUACCGGAUAUGACUCCAUGACGCAUGUUGUGGGGUGGAAAGCCUUGUGCGGCUAGGGAUGGGCCCGCGGCCUAUCAGCUUGUUGGUGGGGUGANGGCCUACCAAGGCGACGACGGGUAGCCGGCCUGAGAGGGCGAUCGGCCACACGUGGGACUGAGACACGGCCCAG
rnacentral:rRNA from 1 species